CACCUUUCUGAGAUCCAGCAGGAGCCUUGAGCUUAGAGCACAGCCACUGCUCAGGGUUCCUGGGGGGAGGGGGGUGGGAACAAGCUCUUUGCCAUCACUAAAUAGAAGAUCUGUGUGUUGAACUCUGGGGACACAGAAGGAAGCAGCACUAUCUCACAGCCCCUGGGGAGAGUCAGCGAUUCCUUUCUAUAUCUGCGCCUCCUCCUUCCUCGGGACAGACCACCUGCUUCCGUGUGACUCUGCUAACUGCCCACCAGAGCUUCCACGCUGGAGCCUGGGCACGCCCUCCUACACACAGGCGCUGCUGGCAUUAACAGCUACUUCUCUUCACGGUGCUGAUUCCCCAGUUCCUUAGGAUCCUGGUGAUUGUUUCUAGGCUCUGCAGUGCAUUGUGCCUUCCUGUCACCAAUUCCUACUGGAGCUGACCUUUGCCGCCCCUCUCCUCCAUGACGGAUGAAAUUGCUGGAACUGGGAAACCGUUACUUCCCUAAGCUGUUUUAGUCACAGUAAUAAGAGAAGAAGUUGACACAGACUUGAUCACCUAACAUUGAAGUACGCGGGUGUCUUUGCGCCUCCAGUUGGAGUGCUGGGAUGGAAUUUGGAGCCCGGCUUAUGCCGGCCAAUGCUCUACUGCCAAGCAACACCCCUCCCUUCCCUCAGUCUUCCGUGACGCCUCCAUGCUGUGCUCAAUAGCAUUCACCUCAGUGUCUUCAGCUAAAGAGACUGGGAUGCUGAGCCCAAUAAGGAGCUUUAGAAUGAAAAGAGUCCACACUGACAGGGCGAGCGAGCUCCUGGAGGAGGCAGCCCCGGAGCAGAAGGAGCAGGAGUGCGGGCCACAGGAAGUGACAGGAACAGCCCAAGCCAGAGGGAGGAAGAGUCUGUGGACUGAGAGGAAGCUCAAGCUGGGAAGCCUCUUCCUGUGACCCCACUUCCUGGAAGCUGCUGCUCUUCCGGCUGAUCCCGGGAACUUGGGAUGUGACAUCGACCUGACCCCCCUACUUUGGAACCUGACAAAAUGUUUCUGGACCCCUAGGGGGGCAGAAAGCUCUCCUGGGAACUCCCACCAGGCACAUCCGCUUCCCUUUCAUCUGUCUGUGGCGGUUUCCCCUGAGCAGGACAAGCUUCAAUGGCACGUGACAGCCAAUGACAGCAUCUUCCAGGUGCGGGCACUGCCUGAAGAGAAAGGUGAGCCGUGGAGGCCACCCGGCUACUCACGCCUAUGUAUCGAGGGGUCUCAGUGCCCGCGACGCCAGUGCGGGCGGCUCCACAAUGCACCGUGUGGGUAGCCUCAUCACGUGAGAGAGAAACAUGGACUCUUUGUUCUGGCAGCAGAGAAUGCAUUGAUCCUAACACUGACAAGCCUCUAGCAGUUCAAGGGGCAGAGCUGGAGCCGUCUCAAGGCUGGUGGCAUCUCAGAAGGGACAAGGCAGGGCCCGUGGUGGCUCUCCGGCCCCUCCCUUUGGCUCUCACCUCGGCAGUACUGCAGGACGGUCUCCAUGGCGCUCUUCCGGUCUGAGGCCCAGCGAAUGCGGGCCGAGCCGGUUAUCUUGUUCUCCGUGGGCCACCAGCCUUGCCAGAGGUACACCUCGUGGUGAUUGUCAACCAGGAAGAGUGCUGUGAGGAACUUCAUUAGGACGAAGAGGAGUUUAUUUCACUGCUGACCGCCUGGUCCCUUGUUUGGCACCAUGUAGGUGCUUAGGAAGCAUUUGCCAAAUAAAUACGUGAAUGAAUUUGUCAUCAUUUGGCUUUGUUCUGAGUGGCCCAAGUGAAAAGCGUCUUGGGGCAUGCAUGCUACUGGAUCCCUCACGCCACCUCUUUUGAACUCCUGCACCUCCACUGCCCACAGGAGGAUGUUCUGAGAGUCUGGUUUCACCCGUCUGCCUGCUGGAAGGUUGCUUGUUUUUCUUCCCUCUGCCUUUACUAGCCAGCACCGACCUUAGAGGAGCUGGGAGGACGGCAGAUCUCAUUGUCCCAUUUCAGGGCCCGCAGAACUGACCCUUAGGCCCUUUGUGGUGGAUCACUCCAGUUUUAGGAAAGAACUCAACUGUUCUUGAGGAAUUGAGACCACCCAGGCUGCUGGUGAGAGCAGAGACACAGUGGCAAGCCUCCUCUGGCUAUGUUCUUCCUCCUGAGGACCUUACCCAUCAAGAAGCCCCCAGAAGAGAAUGGGCUGGUCCUCUUUACCAGAGGAGGCUGUAAGCUGAACACUCCAGAGCAAGUGGCACUUAUGGGUAGAAGCCAAAUUGUGACUCUGCUUGUUGGGGACAUCUGCCUUGCUGAUGUUUUUUGUCUGUUUCAGAUGAGAUCUCACUAGAUAACCCAGACUGGCCCUGAACUCUUAGACUAGCCUGUCCCUCCUGCCUGUGCCUUCUAGAACACAGUGGGUGGCUCAUGGUUGCCUUUUAUGAAAGCAGGUGUGGCCUUAGAAAGCUGGAAAAGCCUGCAAAUUGGAGGUUUCUGUGGAGAUGCAUGCCCCCUGGACUUAUGUCAGAGGGCUGGCUGUAGUUCCCAAAGUCCCUUGCUGGAGUCACUUGAAGCAUAUGGGACGUCCCUUGUUGCCUUAGCCUGGCUGCAUCUCUCUAGGAAUCCCUUCAGUGCAGAGCUGGCCGGAGGAGCAAUACUCACUGUU